CUUGGCUUUCCCAGAGCUGUACAAAGCAAACUCCACACUGUCAACUCAACUGCACUUACAGCUGUGCAGGACAUGCUUAAAAUCUGGAACAGGUUUCUCAGGGCCAAUCUACUCAAGCUUUGAAAUACUCCACAGAUGGAGAUUGCACCCCAUCCCUGAGUGCCUGGGAUUAAAACAUCCACGCUAAGUGUGAGGAGUACCAAACAGAGGACGUGUCCUAUGGUUAUUCUCCAAAAAAUGGGGGACAUCCCUUCUUUCUCCGGCCCCAGAGGCAAACAAUGCACUGCUCCUUCCAGCUCGCUCUGAUGAUGGGUCUCACAGACAUCCAACCAGGCACCAUCUCAGCAGCUCUGCAGCUCCAUGGAGCCAAGAGCCAGGCUUUGGGAAGAAGCUUGUAAACCUGCUGCAGAUGGCUCUGGAGGAGAAAGCACUUUCUCUUUGGGCAGGACUUGUUAAGACCCACAUGCAGAAUAUGAGCUUCAGCCGACCCUCCCUGCAAACAGCUCCAAGUGUUUGGAUCCCCUGCCCAAGCCCAGUUCCUUUCCCAAGCUUUUCUCACGUUGGGCUGCCAGGCUGCUCCACGCCAGUGGGUCCUGUGAGCACUGCAGCAGAGCCGAAAGCACAACGAAUGCCAUGCAGAGACUUUGCUGCUUGUGAACUGCUGCUCCCAGGCCUCACUUGGUUUUCCUUUCCUAUCCAUGCAAACAGCCAAGACUUGGCAGUGGAUGGCAACAGCAGGAGAAGCCACGGAAGCAUCGUCCACACGCACAGCCCAGUACAGCCAAAUGGGCAAACGGCGUGUCAGCAUUUGCAGCUCAUCAGCAAGGAGUUCUGGCUGCUCCCCUGGGUAUGACGCCCCCUCCAUCUCCACUCUCCUCAGAAGCAGCCAGCCCAAGCGGAAUCAUUCUGCCCUUUCACUCAGCAGCAGCACUGGCUUUUGCAAAUUAAGGGCCAGAACAGAGAGGUGAUGAGACAAAAACUCAGCCCAGCUUUCAGACAUAGUUGCUACCCACCGCCUUAAGGGCAGAGAUCCGUACCCUGUGUGUGUGCUGCUGUUGGGACAUGGAGGCAGAGGCGGUUCAUUCUGCUUUUUUUUUCCAUUGUGCAUGGGUACACAACGUGGCUCUCAGCCUCCUCUACAAUAAUGCUUUGUUUCCCUCAACCAACACCACUCUGUCAGCGAUGUAAAUAAUUUUAGCACAUCCAAACAGGAAGUGGCUGAGUGUUUGGGUGUCUGAAUCAACAUCCUGGAGGCUGGGCCUUUGCCACCAGUGCAAUAACUAAAUGCAUGAGUCGCCUAUGGAUGGAAGCGCAGGUCUUGGAAAUGGCAGAGCCAGUAAAACUCAGUGCCAGAAUGUGACCGUUGCCAAAUAAUACUGUUGCUUGUCCAGUUUGUGUGGCCGCAGGCUGCUUCAUCUCAGCUUCUCCGUGCUGAUGCAAUCAUGUUUCCUUUCUGCUUGUGGCAUUGGUAUGGAAAGAGUAGAACGGAGGACUGGCACUAUUGCGUUGGUGCGCAGCACUCGAAGGCUCUCAGGGUUGUAAGCUCAAUGGGCCAGUGGGGAAGCCAUGCACAGAAGGGAAGUUCUUCACAGAGAGAGUGUUGAGGUGCUGGAACAGGCUGUCCAGAGAGGCUGUGGAUGCUCCGUGCCUGGAGGUGUUCAUCCAGCUUGGAUGGAGCCCUGGGCAGCCUGGUCUGGUACCAGACCUGGAGGUUGGUGGCCCUACCUGCAGUUGGAACUUGAUCCUUGAGGUCCCUUCCAACCCAAGCCAUUCUAUGCUUCCAUGACUUCAGAGCCACCAAUCAGAGCUUCUGAGCUUCCUGGGUCAAUUUUAGGAGAAGGAGUGGGCCCAUCUGCUGGUCCUGCUGGGGAUGCUGCAUGUGGGGUCGCUUCCAGAUCUGGUGAACACCCACGGGAAGCUGUCAUCAGCUGCUUGGCAGAAGCCAAAGGUUCCUACCAAAGUACUUCCCUGAGCCCUCCUGGUUUCCUGUCAAUAGAAAUAGUCGUCUCCUAACUUACACCCAUAAGAUCUUCUACAGGUGUUACUCAUUGCUCUCCUCUUUUAUCUCUCGCGCUGUUGGAGUGUGUUGGAAGGGUUUUUUUCUGGCCCAGGAAGAACACAUUUAUGAGCCAGUGCCCCGAAGCUCCUAUUGUUAGUUAUUUAAUAAGAAAGAAACAAACAGAAGCCCCUCCCCCAAAACAACAAAGCCAAAGAGUAAGCUACAGAGCACACAGCCCCAUUUCAACAAUGCUAUCGUUAAUAAAACACGUGGAGGUUGCAGAGGGAGCAAUGCACUGUGCUGGCAUCGUGUUCUCACCUUGCACAAGUGUGUUUCAGGCAGAGAUGCUGAUCUCACAGGGACACUUCUGCAUCCCGCACCAAGCUGUUGCUUUGAGGCAGGUGUGGAUGGAGUGCUUUGUGAGGCACUGAGAGCAUCAACGCAUGCUCUGCCAUUUCACUGAAGAAAGUGGAAGCAUUUAACGAUGGGCUGGUGUGUAGGAGCAGUGACAUUUCUGCACUGUUAUUCAUCACGACCACGAUGGGCCAUGUUUGUCAAGAUGCCCUGUUUCGGAGAAGGCUCUCACACAUCCACUCUUGUUAUUCGUAACUGAGCAAAAAUGCAAUAUUUAAAAUGCAGCUGGCAAUGGCUUGGAGUCUGAAUCCUGCCUUGUCCUGGUGAAUCUCAGACAGUGAACCUGAGGAGAUGGCAGAUUGGAAGGGAAAACAGUCCGGAUUCGGGAGGGUGAAGUUCCGAUAUCUUGCAGAAUAAAAUUAAAAUCUCAAUUCAGAUCAAAACAGAGCUGUUAUAUCUCACGGGGGAAAACCUCCCAGUGUUUUCCACCAACUCAAGUAUCACUAUUAACAGAGAGUGACUUUUCUCACAGUGAAUGUGGUGUUGGUGGAAAUGCCAGAGGCGGCUGUAGGAAAUAGGACAUGACUUUUUGCUCUGAAUAAAAAUGUUUGGGGGCCGUAUACCCGUGGCUGCAGAGCUGUGCUGUGCCUUUGUCCUGCUGUGGGUGUGCAGAGCAACGGGGUGGGAGACUCUCCGUCCUCUCUGCUUUGUGAAUAAGGAAAUAUUUCUCAGUCCACAGUGUCCACAGGCUGUGGUCCUUCCCAUCAGGGCAGAGAAUGGAUCUUGCUUCUCUGCAUGACAGCCAGCCUGCAGGGAGAGGUGUGUGGGGCCCAGGGACAACUCCUGACCUGCUGCUGUGGAGGACAUCCACAGAUGGAGGCACGACUUGGAGCGAACACUCAAAGUCCUGGUUAGGACACAGUCCUGGGGUCUGAGUUAGAAGUGAACUAUUUCUUGCCAUUUGGGUGGUGUUUAUGGCAGUACUAGCUCCAAGACAAGCCCAUCACUUCCUGAAGGACUUGCUAAAGCUCAGCAGGAGAUGACAAAGCCCAUAUCAAAGCCAUGGGAGCAGCGACUGCUGCCACACAGGGGACACCUGUAACCUAUGUGCAGUGUUGGGG
ensembl:lncRNA